UACGAAGGGGGCUAGCGUUGCUCGGAAUCACUGGGCGUAAAGCGCACGUAGGCGGGUUGCUAAGUCAGGGGUGAAAUCCUGGAGCUCAACUCCAGAACUGCCCUUGAUACUGGCGGCCUUGAGUCCGGGAGAGGUGAGUGGAACUGCGAGUGUAGAGGUGAAAUUCGUAGAUAUUCGCAAGAACACCAGUGGCGAAGGCGGCUCACUGGCCCGGUACUGACGCUGAGGUGCGAAAGCGUGGGGAGCAAACGGG
rnacentral:rRNA from 1 species